UCCUGUUCCAGCAUAAGGAAAAAUUGAUAAGAAAGAAAAAUGUAGAACGAAAAAGAGACGGUUCGAGCCGUAAAAAUGGUUCGAGAAAAGAAAAUGGGGUACCUCAAAGCAACAAAUCGUUUUCAAGACCCGAGAACUACCUUAUUUCGGCUUUGUGAAAAAAGAGACCUAUUUUUUAACGUAGUUCUUCCGAGAUGUGAUUGUAUUCUCAAAGAAGAAUAAAAUAAAAAGAAUACGAUUCUUUUUGCUUAUUACGUAUGAAAAUAUCUAACGUCGGUAUUUCAUGUUAGCUACAACUUCUGUCUUCUCAGUGUUAGUUAAAUAUCGAAAAUUUUUUAUUACGUGAGAAGCAUAAAAGUGGUCUUAAACUCAGUGUAAAUGUAUCAUUGAAUAUCCAUAAAAGUCUUUUUUUGAUGUAAUCGAUUUUCUAAGAAUGACAUUCGAACAACAAACUGGAUUUCCAUGUUUGGCUACUUUCCUCUAUAUAAUUGAAUUUUUAUUUCAUUUAUUAGAAGCAAUAUACAAAUAAUGAGGUGAAAAAUGCAAAAAUUAACCAAACGAUAAGAGAAAAGGUUAGAUCGUUUAUUUCUAAGAAGUUAAUUUAAAAAACUAAAUUAUUAAAGAACGAUCACGCGCCAUUUUUGACAAUUAUCUUAAAUGGUUGUUUUAAGUUUUCGGUAUUGCUUCAAAGCCAACACCGUUGUUUAUCAGUUGCUUCUUAGAACAUCCACAGCUGAAGAAAUAUCUAUAGCGUAAAAAAGUUUCGCGAAUAAAGACGCGAAGGUGAACGAAGUAGUUAUGCAAAUACCUCGAUGGACUAUGAAUAUAUUUGGUAACAAUCGUGACGAUAACCGUCGAAGUUUGAAACAUGUUUUCCAUUGAAAAA
rnacentral:misc_RNA from 1 species